AAGGUAGUUCAGUAGAUAAAAUGGAUGAAUAGUUAGGAAAAGCAGUUUAUAUUAGAGAUGUAGCAGUUGGUAUCUCGUGGUAGCAUAAGGAAGAUGGAAGAGAGGAAGUAAGGGCCAGACUGUGAUAGUAUGAGCCAGGAUAAGCUUGGUGAUGUCUCUUGUUUCUUUUUUUUUAUUGUUUAAAGUUCUGAAUAUUGUAAAAAGAAUUCAUGGAAUAAAUCAGGGAAAUGAUUUAUGAGAUAUUAGGUGUGUAACUGAAGUAUUGUGUGAUUGAAGGAGAGAAAUUUGGAAGUUGUUGUCAGAUUCUGUGAAGAUUGGUUAUAACUGGAAGAUUAUGAUCGUGGUUAAUUGAAAACUAAAGUGUGUUCGGACUGAGGAAAUCUGAAAAAAUAAAAAUUGUUUAAAGCCAGAUUAAUUAAGUAAGAUUGAUUAUUCCUGGUGUUGGAUAGAAUUUAUGUGUUUUGUGUGGACUUUUGAGAUAGUGCAGAUUGUAUUUAGUGGUUAUCAGUUAAUGAAAGGGUUUCAUUAGCAGAAAAAAGUCUUGUAGUGUUUCUUUGCUGUUUUAAGUAGUGCAGAAUAUAGUUAAUUGUGUGACCCUAACGUGUAAGCUCAUGCAGUAUUCUUUUCCUAUGUUCGAAUUUUCCUAUACAUGUUUACUCUGAUUAGAUUAGUUAGAGUAAGUAAAACGACAAUCAUAGUAAUCCACUCUCUGUUAAGAAAGAUCAAGUUUCUAAUAGUAUUUUAUUACAAUCUCGACAAAUUAUUAGGGACCAUAUAUA
rnacentral:lncRNA from 1 species